rnacentral:rRNA from 1 species
AGCAGCCGCCACGGUAAUACGUAGGGUGCAAGCGUUAAUCGGAAUUACUGGGCGUAAAGCGUGCGCAGGCGGUUUGUUAAGACAGAUGUGAAAUCCCCGGGCUCAACCUGGGAACUGCAUUUGUGACUGGCAAGCUAGAGUGUGGCAGAGGGGGGUGGAAUUCCGCGUGUAGCAGUGAAAUGCGUAGAUAUGCGGAGGAACACCGAUGGCGAAGGCAGCCCCCUGGGCCAACACUGACGCUCAUGCACGAAAGCGUGGGGAGCAAACAGGAUUAGAUACCCCUGUAGUCCCUGUCUCUUAUAC